rnacentral:lncRNA from 1 species
AGACCUGGAUCCUCUUUGACCUCUCCCAUCUCCAGCUUCCACAUUUCAAUGGUGUUUUGAAUUUUAGGUCUGAAAGAUUUUAUUGUUUGGAAUCUACUAUUCAAGGCAGACCUAACAUUUGUUUUCAGCUUCAGUCAGUGGCAAUGAAAGUUUAAAUCAUCAUUUUGGGCUUCUGGCUAUUCUCCCUCAUCUCCCCUCUUCAUUUUACAAAGACCCUAUACCUCCUACGUCUGCCAGUGACUGCUCUGCAUAUUCCUCUCUCUCUGUUGGCUCAGACUUUUAAAGCUAUACUCGAAGUACAAGUACCCAAGGGCCUUAUAGAAGGCAAUAAUUCAAGGUCAGACUUCCUUGGAUCAGAACGCUGUCUUUAGCAAAGGAUUCAUAUGUGACACAUGAAGAAUACACCAUGACUUGUGGUGAGAGAUCUUUCUCUUAUGGGAAGACUUGGUGACUCAUGAUUACAUGUGGGUUAAUUUCAUAGUACAAGCUCUCAGCCCACACCUGCAGUGCUGCUGUGUUGUCAGCAUCCUCAGCAUUGCAGUGUGAUAUUGAACAGUAUCUGUGCAUUACUGCCAGGCUGCCAGCUGCAUUCAUCUGUCUGUCUGCCUUGAUGCUGCCAAUGCUCUCCCCCUUCCUCUCCAAAACAACACUAGGAACAGUCUGGACCAACCCAGGCAUCAAAGCAGCUGCUCUGGACCCUGUAACACCAUGCUGAACAUAGGCAAUUAUAUGAAGGACGUGUUUAUCCUACAGAAGUGUUGGCAUCUUGUUCCCCUUGGUCACUAAUACAGGUAUGGAGAGCUGAUACAAGCACAGAGCAGUGCAGCUAUACUCCUUGGAAAGCACUUGUUUAUCCAGGCCAGUCCUCUUGAAAGAAAAAAGCCACAAGGUGCCGUGCACAGUCAGCAGGGCACCCGUCUGCUGAACCUGCUGGAGCUGGAUGAUGCAUGAGAGUUCAAGCCACUACCACUUCUCUGUGAAAGGCUGGAGAAUUCAGGCAAGGAGAAGGCAAUGCUUUUUCCCUGGAAAUAGCUCAGCAACAGUAUCCUUCAGUGAAAGGAAUUUUCACCUCUGGAAAGUUAACACCGUUUUAAUCCCAGGUAAGAUUUCCUGCAUUUGCCAUGAACUACCUGAGAGGGUUUUUUGGCUAUGAACAAGAGAGACCUCCAUGAUUACUUCAUGUCAGCUUGAGUGCAAACCCCAGGAAAUAUGUCACAGAAGCUAAAAACAUCAGUUUUUCAGAAGUGACACCAUUUUAUUACAUGUAAUCUCUGCUUAAUUAGUUGGUCUCUGUGCUACCAUUGACACAAAUAUAAAACAGUCCGCCUGUUUAAAUUUCACUGUUGUUGACACAAGUGGGAAGGGUAUUCUGAGUCCGGGUUUCUAAUGAGGAUUUGUCUUAGGCCAGCUAAAGUGGACCUGGAUUUCAUUUCUCUGGUUUGUUUCAACAGUUGUCUCCAUUACAUGCUAUAAUUCCUGCAUGUAGCCCUUUCAACCUGGCAUAAGGACAAUAGGUAAUUCAAAUAUCUAUAUUGUCCCUGCACCCUAUAAUGGUAUUACAAUGACAAUUUUAUUACUCUCAUAAAAUUUUUGCAACUUCCCCACAGCACAUUGUAAUUUCACCAAUGGUUGUAAAAGGUCUUAAAUUAU